GGGUGCGAUCAUACCAGCACUAAUGCUCUAGAUCCCAUAAUAACUCCGUAGUUAAGCGCGCUUGGGUGAGAGUUGUACUGGGAUGGGUGACCUCCUGGGAAAUCCUAGUGUUGCACCCC
rnacentral:rRNA from 1 species